UAGCCUAGUGGUUAAGGCUAUGGAUUGUUAAUCCGGAGACGGCGGGUUCGAUUCCCGGU
rnacentral:tRNA from 1 species